GACAGAGGUCCCGAGCGUUAGGCGGAAUCACUGGGCUUAAAGCGUGUGUAGGCGGAUGCCUAAGUACCUUGUGAAAUCCCACGGCUCACCCGUGGAACUGCUUGGUAUACUGGGUGUCUUGAGCCACUUAGGGGCUACCGGAACAAAUGGUGGAGCGGUGAAAUGCGUAGAUAUCAUUUGGAACGCCAAUGGUGAAAACAGCUUGCUGGGGGUUUGCUGACGCUGAGACACGAAAGCCAGGGGAGCGAACGGG
rnacentral:rRNA from 1 species